rnacentral:lncRNA from 7 species
AAAUCAAAAUGUUAGCAGCCAGGCCGACAAUAGCAGAUGUAAAGAUCUGUUAAUCACAUUGCCGGGGUGUUGGUCCCCUUUAAUUUGUGGCUUCCAGAACUGCUGAGUACUCGUAACUGUAGUGCGAUCGGCAGGUGCUUACCAGCAACGACAGCAUCUGGCACCAGGUUACCAUUUUUUUUGUUUGAUGUAUUGCUGAACCAUCCAGUGAUGGCACUAGAAAAAGACCUGAAUUUGUGAUUGCGCCAAUCGGGGGAAUAAAAGGAUACCACUGCAUGAGUGAUCUCUGAGAGACUUAAUAAAUUAUGAAUGCCAGAAUGCGAUCUGGAAACAAAACUUUGGAAAGUUGAGUAACCCAUGUGGAAAGGUUUAUCUGUGACUACCUAUAAUAAUGUGGAUGUCGUGAUGACCUGAAAAACAAACAGUUCCAAGGAUACUGAUUAUUGGAGAAAUUCUUCAAGCCAUAAGUCAACCAAGUUUGUGAAUGACUUAAGGUUUUUGUUGACUUAAAUAUGACUCUGGAGGUACAAAGUGUGCUGUCUGCCUACACUGAGAUGAAGUUUUGUUUUACGGAAAUACAGCUGUCUCAUCUACACUUAGACUGGAGUGAUGCAAUGAUUUUGAACACCCACCGCCAUUUAACAACUUCUGUAGUAUUCACUCCUCACAACUUGACUUAAAGUGUCUUUCUCUGUCAGCUCUUAGUGAGCCGUAGUGCUGCAGACAGGUUCCUCACCUCAUUUCAGUUCAAAACGCACAGGAAGAGAGUAGUAGGCACUUACAUCUGUAGUCUUAUCUAGCUUUAUCUUUCUGAUUUCAUGGAUGUAAUCCAGAAGUAGCUUUCGGCACAUGAAGAACUAUUUCUCCCCUUUGGAUGCAGAUUUGAAUUUUAAAAAGAAGACUGCCUGCUUUACAAUAUCACAGCGAAAAAUUUAGAUUUACCAAUUUAAUUGCCUGUUAUUAUCAAAAGCUUCUGAAGAGUCAUGGUUCUGUCUUAGAAGGUCUCAUGUUGGGAAAGCUUUUGUGUCUCACUCUUCUGAUGGCAAAAAAAGGUAUCUACAGUUAUUUGUUCCAGAUCUUGAAUUACAAGAAGUUGCCUAC